GCGUGUGGGAAGAAGGCCUUCGGGUUGUAAACCACUUUUGUCAGGGAAGAAACGGCUUAGUUUAAUACGCUGAGCUAAUGACGGUACCUGAAGAAUAAGCACCGGCUAACUACGUGCCAGCAGCCGCGGUAAUACGUAGGGUGCAAGCGUUAAUCGGAAUUACUGGGCGUAAAGCGUGCGCAGGCGGCUUUGCAAGACAGAUGUGAAAUCCCCGGGCUCAACCUGGGAACUGCAUUUGUGACUGCAUGGCUAGAGUGCGGCAGAGGGGGAUGGAAUUCCGCGUGUAGCAGUGAAAUGCGU
rnacentral:rRNA from 1 species